UAAAAUCAAUCACGAAGGAGAAGUAAACCGUGCUCGUUACAUGCCGCAGAAUCCUCACAUCAUUGCUACAAAAACACCAUCUUCUGAUGUGUUGGUUUUUGACUAUACAAAACACCCUGCUAAACCAGACCCAAGUGGAGAAUGUAAUCCUGAUCUCAGAUUAAGAGGUCACCAGAAGGAAGGCUAUGGUCUCUCCUGGAAUUCAAAUUUGAGUGGACAUCUCCUAAGUGCAUCUGAUGACCAU
rnacentral:sRNA from 1 species